GCCUACGGGAGGCAGCAGUGGGGAAUUUUGCACAAUGCCCGAAAGGGUGAUGCAGCAACGCCGCGUGGAGGAUGAAGGUCUUCGGGUUGUAAACUCCUUUUAUUGGGAAAGAUUAUGACGGUACCCAAUGAAUAAGCCACGGCUAACUCUGUGCCAGCAGCCGCGGUC
rnacentral:rRNA from 1 species